rnacentral:rRNA from 1 species
GACGUAGGGACCGAGCGUUGUCCGGAAUCAUUGGGCGUAAAGAGCGUGUAGGCGGCCACUUAAGUCCUGCGUGAAAUCUUGCGGCUCAACCGCAAGCGGUCGUGGGAAACUGGGUGGCUAGAGUGCGGGAGAGGAGAGUGGAAUUCCUGGUGUAGCGGUGGAAUGCGCAGAUAUCAGGAAGAACACCCGUGGCGAAGGCGGCUCUCUGGAACGCAACUGACGCUGAGACGCGAAAGCGUGGGAGCAAACAGG